CACCGCAUAAUAUUAUACCGCAUAUUUUGAGCCACUGAGAAAUUCCAAACAAAAAAACGAAUAGAAUUAAUUAGAGAAUGGAUUUGCUCAACAGAAGCUGCUGCCUUGGGCUAUCUCCUCAUCUUCAAAAGUUGCCUCCUUCCCGAUUCCUGGGUAGAGAUAUACUACAUAUUUGUCCCACCAAAUUACACUAUAGACAUGGAGGUUAUACAAAAGCUUUGGCUGGUCAGAAUAACGUCAAAAAGUUGAGAAAACGACAGAAAAUGCAAAAGGAGAAGCAGGGGGUUUUAGAUGAAACUGAAGGUGUAGAUGAAGAUAAGAUGUCUUCUGAAAUUAAUGAAGCUCAAGCUUCAGUUUUGGUCCCAUCAAGGAGUAGUGUGCUUCAAGCCUGCACUUUCACUUCUCUUUCCAUAGCUGCUUUGGGGGUUUUAAUUAGGCAGGUUUCUCAUUUUGUGUCGGGAGAGGGGUCGCCUGUUCUUGACUGUUCCGAGGAUAUAACUUUUAGUGUCGAGUCAUGGCAUUUCGGGCUGAUUAUAGGAUCAGUAAUCCUGGUAUCAUCAUGUCGUCUCUUGCUACUGAAGAUAUGGCCAGAUUUUGCCGAGUCUAGUAAAGCAGCUAAUCAGCAGGUUCUUACUUCCUUGGAGCCUCUCGAUUACUUGGUCGUAGCAUUUUUACCUGGAAUCAGUGAGGAACUUCUCUUCCGUGGGGCAUUAAUGCCUCUCUUUGGCGUUAACUGGAUGAGUAUCUUCGCGGUUGCAGCACUAUUCGGUGUCCUGCACCUCGGAAGUGGCAGGAAAUAUUCAUUUGCAGUCUGUUGGAUGUUGUUCUUGAAACCUUUGGCAGGGCAACUUUUGUUGGGGUUGUGUACGGUUACACGACAAGUUUGUCGUCAAGUAUCGUUGUGCCUGUGGCGUCUCAUGCCCUGAACAACUUGGUCGGAGGCAUUAGCUGGCGUCUCUCUUCAGACGCGGAUUAGUCUUGCCGUGUUCGAAUCCAUAUCCGUCUCUGCGCGUGCGUUUGUGAUGAAGAGGUUCAGGAUCGCCGGAGAAGAAGAAUGGUGGUAGAGAUAUUGAAGACAUGUGUUGAGUUUUAAGAGCAAGAAGAAGAUAUCAAUGCAUUCACAUAAUUGGAGAAGUGAUAAUGGUAAUACCAGGGAACAUUUUACAUUAUGUUUUUUAGUUUAUCAAGAAUUUAGAAUAACAAAUUAUGCAUCCCUUUAUGGAUAUUCAAGUGAUAACCUUCCAUGCGUAAAUAAAGAAAUUUGGGAUUCGAUCCUCA